UUUGUUGUUGCGUGUCUUGUUUGAAAAUUGGAGGGGCUGCAUGGUUUCUGUUGAAACUAGCAUGGAAGCCAGAUCCUCAACUUAUGCACUGGCUAGAUAAGGCAUCAAUGGUCUUAUGGAAAAAUAGCAUGAGACGAACAAAGAAGCUGCUCUUGCUCCCAUUAAUUUUUUUGCCCCUUGCAGUCGUAGCCGUUAUGAAGAAGUUUGGGUCAAGGAUUCCGUUGCUGUUGUUUUCGAUUAUACUUUCUUGGUGUCUCCACUGGUGCAUUAUUACGGACCUUGGACUGGGAUUUGUGGUUAGCAUGGAUCCGAUCUGGGUAGGACUUGGUAGUGCGUGAGGACUGAGGACUGAUGAAUAGCAGUGGCAGGCUGACUGGUCACUUGUGUGGACGGUGGACAUGGUCUGUCGAACAGAAUCCGGUUAUGAUUCGGGGAUCGAAGGUUUGGAGAGCGAUUUUUCUACACCCAGAUAAUCUGAACGCAGUUUGGUCCAGCUCUACCGUCUUGCUCGAUCCCAGGACGUCAGGUCACCAGCUGGUCCAUGGCAACGUGGACGGCGAGCUCUGCCAAGUGAUCGAGAACGUGACAUGGGCCUAGGCUGCCCGUCGUCUGGUCAGGAUCAUCUCCUCAUUGUCCGACGGGGGCACGACGCGCGACGACUGUCCUCCGGCCGUCGAUGCCUACAUGGAGGAAUACUACCGGCGCUCCGGAGACCCCAAGGAAAAGGACCGGCGAGGAAAUGGUUAAGUCCAGCGCCCCUCCAUUUAUUAGGCUAUCUAUCUAUAGUUUAUCUAUCGAUUGUAUCUAGGUGGUGAACUUGCACAUUUUGUGACCCGUUGUAAAACUUUAUCCCAGAUCUUUGUAUUGCUACAUAGUGUUUAUCACAUUGUAUGGGCAACAUGGAUUUGGGAGGCCGGAUCUCAUUUCUCCGCAUCCACGGAGGUCUUCC